UAAAAGGUGAAACUGGGCCAAGCAUCAAAUUUCUCUCUCUGCUUCCUCAUUCUGGGUGCAAAUGCAAGGUAAGUCUGUUCCGGGAAAGGCUCGGUGGUUCUUGUGUAGGCAAGCCCAGUCUGUCACACUGGCCAAGACAGUCAUAAACGUCACUGCAAAAAGCUGCACUGGGGGUGACAGGGAGCUUUGGACUUCUUUUGUAAACUUUUUUUUUUCUUUUCUUUUUUUUCCAGAGCUGGGGACCGAACCCAGGGCCUUGUGCUUGCUAGGCAAGCACUCUACCACUGAGCUAAAUCCCCAACCCCGAGCUUUGGACUUCUAACCAACAGAUUCCACCACUUGACCUGGGAUGAAUCAAAACAUAGAUACUCAGGCAUCCUAGUAGUAAGAGAGGUCUGCCAGCCUUUGAGGUAAAAUACAGGAGACCCUCAGAUGCAGGUGGGCAGAGGAGACCCUAGUAGCUCACACGUGUCACUGAUCUGCUGAUGCGCCUUAGGGCAGGAAGCAGUGGCUGGCAGGACUGUGGACGCUCUGUCUUCCUGGCUGUUCCUCCAGCACUCUUCUCUCACAGGCAUGGGCCUGUGUCUAGCUCCAUGGCCACAUGCCUCAGCUUCUCCAGGAUGCCUUUCCAACCGUCAGAAGAAGCAACAGGAGUUCACAUGAAUUUACUCUGCCUUCAUGGGGCUCUGUUUGGUAGAGUCAGCAACCUGCAGGUAACCCCACUGAGUAUCCAUCUGUCCUUCCCAAGAGUCCACCCUGCAAAUGGAAGACCUGGAAGGCAGCUUUAUUCUCAGCUGUUCAGUGGGCUGGCUGGUUGUUUCAAGAAUCCCUUCCCUAGAGAGACAUAAAGAUCCUCUAUCCCCUCCUCCUAAGGUCCCAAUGACAAAUGGAGUGGGAGGUGCCAGCAGCAGGUGGGCGGUGCUAGCAGCAGGUGGGCGGUGCUAGCCGCCAUGUCGCUGAGCCUAAAGCAACUGCAGUGAAAAGGUUUCACCCAGUGUGAGUGAUGACUUCUCCAUAACCACAUAGAUGGAGCCCCCUCUCCUUUAGCCCUCCCUAGCCUAUAUAGUCUAGUACCUCUAGCCCCAGAAGUCGCAUGCAAUUAAGGCAGAACUGUAUAGAAAUGCUUGGGAGGAAGGGCUAGAAUCUCAGGUAAAUAUCAAAAGCCCUCCACACGCGUCUUUUCUGUGGUCCAAUAAAAUGACAGCUGUUUGCUUGAAGGACCGCAUUCUACAACACCAGCAGUGAAUGUCAGCAGCUAUUAGAUGGACAGUCCACUAGGCUUGGCCAGUGUCUCACAAGGAGGGUGGAGAGUGGGGCUGCUCAAAAGGAAGAAUCUGCUUCUAACAGUUGCUGAGACAAAGCCCCACAGGCUUGGGAACUUAAACAGAUGCUGUUCCCCAGUGGUGAAACCAAAAGUCUGAGAAGGGCCCGAGAGUCUGCUGCACGUCACCCUGGCCUCUGGGACCUGAGAGUCUCCUGCAUGUCACCCUGGCCUCUGGGGCCAGGGUGGCCAUCUGACUCUCUUGGUUACAGAAGGAUGCCUCACUUUGGUCUUAGUCUUCAUCUCACAUGAUUUCUCCCCAUGCCCUGUCUCUUCCCCAACUAUCCCCUCUGUAAAGACACCUCAUAUUGAACUAGAAACUCCUGACACCAUUUUAUCUGAUCUGUUUCCCCGUGAAUGUCCCAUCCCAGAUCUGGAGGAAGAGGUAAGAUCUCUGAGGACAAGACCCAAGCCUUCUUAGGAAAAAAGAGAGGAGAAGACAGAUGCUGAACUCCCAUCAGACGAUGUAGGGAAGGGGUGGGGACCAAGAUUCAGGCCCUAGUGCCCCAGAGAGCUCAGGCAGGGCCGCACUGAGGCACUGGGCCAUGAGGAACCCCAGUGAGUCACUGUGUGUGGGGUCAGGAGGAACAGAUGGCGAGACGGCUUUUUGUGGAAUCCAGAGCUUUGUUGGUUUUAAUUAUGGUGGACAGGGAAGGAGGGGAUGCUUGUUGCUACUUUAAGAGGCCUCUAAAAGGAAGACUCUGGCUAUGAAAGAACCUGGCCAAGGCCAGGAGUACGGAUUGCUGGAGUCUGGAGAUGAAAGGAGAGCCAGGCCAGGAGGAGGCUUGUGAGGGCAAUGGAGUGACGCCCUCUGAGCCAGUCGUCAGGGGCAGGCAGAGCAUUGAGCCUGGGAUUCAGAGUUUCCUGUUCCCUCGAAUCUAGCGUGGUACUGAGAAGCCUAGGCCCUGGGACCCCUUCAACACUGCAGCGAGCCUUGGAAGAGCCCUCGGGGAUCCAUUAAAUCAGUGUCUCAGGCACUUAGAGAGAUCUGAGCCUGGGGUAGGGUGACUUAGCGCCUCAGCGGCAGACACUAUUGCAGCCCUGAGCACCCACUGCAGUGUGGAGCGGUAAAGCAUUUCCUGAGUUUACUGUCUAUUUUGGAAAACCUAGGAAUCCAGCCUUAACAUGUCACUCCAUGAUUACGGAUGGGCUGCAUGGAAUCAUACCAAGCUGAUCCCAAUCACAGAGUGGGCGAAGAUGCUGAGACACCAUAUCACCCAGAUCAUAAGGGCCAUACAGCUGUCUCCACAUUCAUUCUCCAAAUUCCCAUUGAGCAAUUUUUCCAUAGGUUUGGUCAUUGAAAAAAAAAAGUCAGAAACUAGCCCCACUGUCUUUGAUGAGUAUACAUCUUAUACAGGUGGGUAAGAACAUCAAACAUUCCAGAGAUUUGAAUGUUUGACUUCUCCGGUGUUGAGAGGAGCUCUAUCCCCAAAGAGAGCAGAGCAGAGGCUGGAAAGUGCUGUGCAUGAGCGGAGGGGCUCGGGGAUGUAGGAAAGAGGGGAGCUCGGUAUAUAAUUCACACUGAGGUGAGAUAGUGGGACACAUGAGUGGAUUUCUGAGGAAAGAGACCACCUAGCAGUUUGGCUAAGAAGCAGAUAAAGGCCUGGACUGGGAAGGUUAAUUUAGAGUUUCAAGUGAGCAACGCAGGAGAGGAGUAGGCAAAAGAAAGUUCUGUCCAGAUGAUGGUGACACCGCCCUCUGAGCUUUCCAUUUUGGAACCUUUGGUGACAACAAUCUUGUUAACCUCAACAUAUCUCAUACGAGCUUCCCUGAUCCCACCCAACUCCCGACAGUCUGAGAUUGGAAAUGUGGAGACCAAGAUCAAACCCUCCAUUCUGAGGUCUGGGCACUAUGUCAGCACUGGGCUGUUGAGGGGACAUCUACAUACACCCUGUUGUGUCAGAGAGAGGGAGAGAGGGAGGGAGAGAAAGACAGAGACAGAGAACCGGCUGAGUCAAAAGUAGAAACAUUUCUACUUGAAAACUUAAAGCUCACAUUCUAAGAUCAAAAUCAAAGCAGAAAAUAAUGAUCACAUUCACUCCAAGAAUUCCCCAGUGGCAGUAUCACCCACAUCACUCCCACAUCCACCAAUAGAAAUGCAGCUCACAGCAGUGGUCAACUAGCCUUCAUCAAGAUCACCCAGCGUUCUCCUGGGAAUGAUCAAUCUUAAUUGUCAACUUGACUUUACCUGAUCAUCAGAAGAGAGAAUCUCAGUGAGGGACUGUCUAUGUUGAGUUGACCUGGGUAAUGUCUGUGGGAGGUUGUCUUAAUUAAUUGAUGUUGGAAGAACCAGUCCACAGUGGGUAGCACUAUUCCCUAUUCAGGGGGUACUGAGCUUUGUAAGCAAAUCUAACUUAGCACAGGCAAGCCAGCAUGUGUAUAUUUAUUUAUUUCUUCUUGACUGGAUGUGCCAUGACUAUUUGAAGUUCUCUCCUUGACUUCUCCAUCAUGAUGGACUGUAACCCGGAACUGUAAAUUUAAAUAAACCCCCUUCUCCCCUAUUGAGUAUUUUGUUACAGGAACAGAUAUGAAACUACAACAAUCCCCUUCUCCCUGUUGUCUGCACCUGCUCUGAGUGUUUGAUCUCAGAUCCCAGACUCAAUCAGCAGUGCGUGUGGCUGGGUCUCCAAAGGCGCUCGUGCCACUCAGAGGGAAAGCCAAGGUGCUGUCCCUGCCCUACCAAGACGUUCUCCAUCAUUCGCCACCCCUGCUUUGUCAUCUCCGGUAGUGAGUGAUCCGCCUCCCGUCGCUCCACUUUCCACCCUGCUCCGCCUCCAUGGGGCUUCAACUCCCAUGAUGCUCUACCUCCCAUCAUGCUCCACUCCUCCUUAUAAACUGAAACAUUCUACAGCGAGGGAAGGAAAGGCUCGGGAGCUGUACAAAGGGGUACACGUCUAGGAAGUGGAAACUCGAAGAUUCUCAGAGACCUCUCCCCUGAGAAGGAGACUUAGCAGCAGAGCUUCAGAGAUUCACUGGACCUCUCAGCUGACUGCGGAUUGUGCAGAGAGCUCAGGGUCACAGUUUUCAUGCGCUACCACCCGUGGUGGGCGCGCUUUACAGUGAUGGUGCUUUUUGGCACCCCCCCCUCCUCCUGUAACCCCUGACCGAUACCCCCGUUAGUAACCCCAAUUAAAAGUCAUCGACGCACCAAA